AAAGCGUGCGCAGGCGGUUUUGUAAGUCUGUCGUGAAAUCCCCGGGCUCAACCUGGGAAUGGCGAUGGAGACUGCAAGGCUAGAGUUUGGCAGAGGGGGGUAGAAUUCCACGUGUAGCAGUGAAAUGCGUAGAGAUGUGGAGGAACACCGAUGGCGAAGGCAGCCCCCUGGGUCAAAACUGACGCUCAUGCACGAAAGCGUGGGGAGCAAACAGGAUUAGAUACCCGAGU
rnacentral:rRNA from 1 species